rnacentral:rRNA from 1 species
UACGUAGGGUGCAAGCGUUGUCCGGAAUUAUUGGGCGUAAAGAGCUCGUAGGCGGUUUGUCGCGUCUGCUGUGAAAACCCGAGGCUCAACCUCGGGCCUGCAGUGGGUACGGGCAGACUAGAGUGCGGUAGGGGAGAUUGGAAUUCCUGGUGUAGCGGUGGAAUGCGCAGAUAUCAGGAGGAACACCGAUGGCGAAGGCAGGUCACUGGGCCGCAACUGACGCUGAGGAGCGAAAAGCAUGGGGAGCGAACAGG